rnacentral:rRNA from 1 species
UUUGAAAACUCUAGAGAUAGAGCUUUCCCCUUCGGGGGACAAAGUGACAGGUGGUGCAUGGUUGUCGUCAGCUCGUGUCGUGAGAUGUUGGGUUAAGUCCCGCAACGAGCGCAACCCUUAAGCUUAGUUGCCAUCAUUAAGUUGGGCACUCUAGGUUGACUGCCGGUGACAAACCGGAGGAAGGUGGGGAUGACGUCAAAUCAUCAUGCCCCUUAUGAUUUGGGCUACACACGUGCUACAAUGGACAAUACAAAGGGCAGCUAAACCGCGAGGUCAUGCAAAUCCCAUAAAGUUGUUCUCAGUUCGGAUUGUAGUCUGCAACUCGACUACAUGAAGCUGGAAUCGCUAGUAAUCGUAGAUCAGCAUGCUACGGUGAAUACGUUCCCGGGUCUUGUACACACCGCCCGUCACACCACGAGAGUUUGUAACACCCGAAGCCGGUGGAGUAACCAUUUAUGGAGCUAGCCGUCGAAGGUGGGACAAAUGAUUGGGGUGAAGUCGUAACAAGGUAGCCGUAUCGGAAG